GUCACUGGUCAUUCUUCCUUAGUUUCCUAUUCCACUGCACACUAUGAUACAUAACAGUUUCUAGGGGCACAGUUGAUGAAGCACUUAACUGAAGGGGACUUAAAAAUGCCACACUUGGAUUGCAACACAUAUCAAUUAGCCAGUAGCAAUUUUUCUGCUCCCAGUGGUCUGGGAUCAUUAUAGACUAAAUGCCUUUAGGACAUCAUCCAUUUUCUAUGCACACAACAGCCAAAUCUAAAAAUAUGGAAUGAAAUAAUAGCCCAGAAUCUUCUCUACUUUGGCUACUAAGAAGAGGAAAAACAAUUACGGCUCCAGGAAAAGGCAUCUUGGUGUUUUAAAACAUUCAGAACCUGCAUAUUAGAAAUGCUGACACUUAAGAAUUGUGUGAACAGAACCAGAAGAACAUUGGACACAGAAACACCAAUAUUGUUAAAUGAAGAUUUAAACUCAGGGAAAUGAGUCUUCUUCAUGCAGGCCCAGUACUCUAUGUAUUAUGCUAAUUAGAUGAUCUAUCCAUGUUUUCCUGAAGAGGAAACUUGAGGUUGAAAGGAAUUAAGUGACUUAUCCAAAGUGAUCCAAUAUAAGAGGCAAGUUUCAAAACCCAGGUUUCUUUUGACUCCAACAUCAGUAUUCUUUCUACCACAUCAAACUGCUUCUCAGUGGCUUUGGUUAAGUAUCAGUGAAUAUGAAGGAAGAUAAUGCGUGAAUCCUAAAGGACUGAGCAAAGAAAUGGAUCUUUUAUUGAUUCUUUGUGACAUGAAUACACAGACACACACCCUUAAGUUCAAUCAAUGAUCCAAGACAAUCCCAAGGGACUAAAUGAUGAAGCAUAUUAUCUAUCUCAAAAGAAAAAAACUUAUAUUAAUUGAAUACAGACUGAAGAAUGAUAUUUUUCACUUUUUUUUCUUACCUUCAAGUCUUCUUGUAUAAUAUGGUAAUAUUUUAUAUAAUUGAACAAAAAAAAGUUGGGUGAUUUCAGUCAAGUUAUUUCAUUUCUCUUAGUCUUUAUAAAAUGAGGAUAAUGAUAAGUUUUCAUAUACAUAAUAAGAGUUUUCUUAGGGCAGAAUGUAUUAAACUAUCUAAAAUUACCUCUAGAUGAGAGCAUUUCUGGAUCAACAGCCUUCAUCCAGAUAUAUGCCUAAUUUGUUGUAACUAAAUUCAAAGUGUAUUUUUUUAACUAAAAGGAAGAAAAAAGUUAGAUCAUAGGCAACUGAUGGAAUGAAAUGGAUUGUUUAGCUCUACAAUAACAGAAAAAGAGAAAGGAGAAGGAGGAAGUGAAGGAGAGGGGAGAAAAGGGAGAGAUGGAGGAAAAAAGAAGGAGGAGGAGAUGAUGAUGAUGAUGAUGAUGAUGAUGAUGAUGGUGGUGGUGGUGGUGGUGAUAUAAAACUGAAGAAGAAAACUGAAAAGAUGGGAGCUUGAUUGAACAGAAUUUUAAAUGUCAGGUUAAUGGUUUUGUAUUUUAUCAAAGACUUAAUGAAAAGAAAUUAAAGAUUUUUAAGAUGGGAAAGGGAAGUAUGAUAGAAUCAAAUAUAUGUUUAAGGAAAAUGUCAGAUAUGUGAAUGUUUGGUGAAAAUAUAAUGUUUAGACAAUGAAUUUAGAAAGUUGGAAGACUAGAGACAGGGAGAUGAAUUAGGAAGCUAAUACUCAAAAGUCUUUAAACUCAAAUAGUCUAUAUGAAUAGAAAGGAGUGGAUAGAUAUGAGAAAUAUUGUCAUUAAUAAGACUUAACAAGAGAUUAUAUAAGAAAACAGCAAACAACUCCAGUGUCUUUGACAAGAAAGCUCCAAGUAGGGUAAUGAAAAGCUAUACAUAACUGAAAUGACAGAACAACAAUAAAAAAGAUUGAAUGGAGAGAUUGAAGGAAAAAAAUGAGUCAAAGAUUUCCCCAAAACUGAGAAUUUAGUUGACUACAAGGAUACAUAAGCAGAAAUGUGGAAGUUUUUAAAAGCAAUGCGUUUCAGAAGACAUAUGACCUAAAGAAUGUGAAAUUGCUAUGGGUUAUCCAAAUAAAGAUGGCUAGUUAUAUAGUUGUUUCAAUUGUUUCUGACUCUUUUGAUCAUAUUUGGAGUUUUCAUGGCAAAGAUACUGGAGAAGGAUGCCAUUUUCUUCUCCAGCUCAUUUUUAUAGAUAAAAAACUGAGGCAAACAGGUUGAAGUGAUUUGCCUGAAAUCACAGAGAUAGGUGGGACUGUCAACAAAUUCAAAGACUGCAAGGGAAAGGAAAAGAAGUGAAAGUCAAUAUAAGACCAUUUCAAAUAAUAUUAUUUUUAAAUUCAUAGUGUUCGAAAGCAAAAAGUAAACAUUUUCUCUAAAUAGUGAAUUGAAUUUUAUGGCAGUAUGCCUGUUGCAUGAUAUAUAGAUAUGGGUUAUGUGUCCUGGAAAAAAAAAAUGUGUUUUUACUAUUCUAUCGACUUUAUAAUCAAGGCAGUUGUUUGGGUUAAAAUUGUACUGUCUUCAUUUAAUUUAGGGAAAGUGUGCUGACAUAUUUCAGCUUUAUAGAAUCUAUAUCUUAGAAUGAGUGACAACUAUGUUGAGAAAUAUAUCCUCAAAAAUCCCUACCAGUCUGGUGCAGAAUGUUAGUAAUAAAUAUUUUCUGAUUUC